rnacentral:rRNA from 1 species
CCUACGGGUGGCAGCAGUAGGGAAUAUUGCUCAAUGGGGGAAACCCUGAAGCAGCAACGCCGCGUGGAGGAUGAAGGUUUUCGGAUUGUAAACUCCUUUUGUUAGAGAAGAUAAUGACGGUAUCUAACGAAUAAGCACCGGCUAACUCCGUGCCAGCAGCCGCGGUAAUACGGAGGGUGCAAGCGUUACUCGGAAUCACUGGGCGUAAAGAGCGCGUAGGCGGGAUAGCAAGUCAGAUGUGAAAUCCUAUGGCUUAACCAUAGAACUGCAUUUGAAACUGUUGUUCUAGAGUAUGGGAGGGGUAGGUGGAAUUCUUGGUGUAGGGGUGAAAUGCGUAGAGAUCAAGAGGAAUACUGAUUGCGAAGGCGACCUGCUAGAACGUAACUGACGCUGAUGCGCGAAAGCGUGGGGAGCAAACAGGAUUAGAUACCCCUGUAGUC